UACGUAGGGUGCAAGCGUUGUCCGGAAUUAUUGGGCGUAAAGAGCUCGUAGGCGGUUUGUUGCGUCGGCUGUGAAAUCCCGAGGCUCAACCUCGGGUCUGCAGUCGAUACGAGCAAACUAGAGUGUUGCAGGGGAGACUGGAAUUCCUGGUGUAGCGGUGAAAUGCGCAGAUAUCAGGAGGAACACCGGUGGCGAAGGCGGCCGGCUGGGGGUGCCCUGACGCUGAGGCGCGAAAGCGUGGGGAGCGAACCGG
rnacentral:rRNA from 1 species